rnacentral:tRNA from 1 species
CGCAGGGUAGAGCAGUUGGUAGCUCAUCGGGCUCAUAACCCGGAGGUCACAGGUUCGAGUCCUGUCCUCGCUA